UUGACGAAGCUACUGCAAAUGUCGACAAUGGAUACCAUGAGGUGGAAAUUCGCCGACUGUACGGUUUUGAUAAUAGCACAUUGAUUGAAAACGAUAAUGGACAGUGACCGAUUAUUGGUCAUGGAAGCCGGUCGCAUCUUGGAUUUUGGACAUCCCUAUUUGCUGUUGCAAAAUCGAGACGGCCACUUUUCGCUAAUGUUUCAAAAAACCGGAAAGGUGAUGAGGAAAGAACUUUCGAAGGUUGCUGAGAAUGCGAAACGGCUCGAUGUUGAAUCCAGGAAAAUAUCGAACGUCGGCACCAUCUCUAAUAUCAGAUAGACCAGACAUUCAUCGUGAAAAUAGUUCCAGAACUGACUGAGUCUGACUUCGAAUAAUCAGAUCCUCAAAGGCACUGAUGAAAAGCAAUUUCGUUGAACCCUUGUCAUCGAUCAUUAGGUACAACAAGAUACUUGCGUCUAACGCAGCUGCAGUUUACAGUCAAAUAUGUAAUUAAACGUUUAUAAAGCAUAAGU